ACGGCAGCACAGAGGAGCUUGCUCCUUGGGUGGCGAGUGGCGGACGGGUGAGGAAUACAUCGGAAUCUACUCUGUCGUGGGGGAUAACGUAGGGAAACUUACGCUAAUACCGCAUACGACCUACGGGUGAAAGCAGGGGAUCUUCGGACCUUGCGCGAUUGAAUGAGCCGAUGUCGGAUUAGCUAGUUGGCGGGGUAAAGGCCCACCAAGGCGACGAUCCGUAGCUGGUCUGAGAGGAUGAUCAGCCACACUGGAACUGAGACACGGUCCAGACUCCUACGGGAGGCAGCAGUGGGGAAUAUUGGACAAUGGGCGCAAGCCUGAUCCAGCCAUACCGCGUGGGUGAAGAAGGCCUUCGGGUUGUAAAGCCCUUUUGUUGGGAAAGAAAUCCAGCUGGUUAAUACCCGGUUGGGAUGACGGUACCCAAAGAAUAAGCACCGGCUAACUUCGUGCCAGCAGCCGCGGUAAUACGAAGGGUGCAAGCGUUACUCGGAAUUACUGGGCGUAAAGCGUGCGUAGGUGGUCGUUUAAGUCCGUUGUGAAAGCCCUGGGCUCAACCUGGGAACUGCAGUGGAUACUGGGCGACUAGAGUGUGGUAGAGGGUAGCGGAAUUCCUGGUGUAGCAGUGAAAUGCGUAGAGAUCAGGAGGAACAUCCAUGGCGAAGGCAGCUACCUG
rnacentral:rRNA from 1 species